AUUGAACGCUGGCGGCAUGCCUUACACAUGCAAGUCGAACGGUAACGCGGGGCAACCUGGCGACGAGUGGCGAACGGGUGAGUAAUGUAUCGGAACGUGCCCAGUAGUGGGGGAUAGCCCGGCGAAAGCCGGAUUAAUACCGCAUACGACCUGAGGGUGAAAGCGGGGGAUCGCAAGACCUCGCGCUAUUGGAGCGGCCGAUAUCAGAUUAGCUAGUUGGUGGGGUAAAGGCCUACCAAGGCGACGAUCUGUAGCCGGUCUGAGAGGACGACCAGCCACACUGGGACUGAGACACGGCCCAGACUCCUACGGGAGGCAGCAGUGGGGAAUUUUGGACAAUGGGCGAAAGCCUGAUCCAGCCAUGCCGCGUGCGGGAAGAAGGCCUUCGGGUUGUAAACCGCUUUUGUCAGGGAAGAAAAGGCUCGAACUAAUACUUUGGGCUCAUGACGGUACCUGAAGAAUAAGCACCGGCUAACUACGUGCCAGCAGCCGCCGUAAUAC
rnacentral:rRNA from 1 species